UGUAUCUCUCCUCUCUCUCUCUUUUCUCCUUAGUUUUCUCCAUAACCAUGAAAUUCAAGCUUUCAAAGCUUGAAUCAACCCCAUAAAUUCCCCAAAAAUUCUACUAAAUUAUGAUUAAGCUUUGGUUGGGCUACUAGAAGAGGAGAUUGAAGAAGCAAGAAAGAAGAAAAAAGAGAAGAAAAUUAGUGAUUGGAAAAUCAAACAAAGUGGAAAAGAAUACCGGGACAGAACCCGAGGAGUCGAGUCAAGGCCAACAGGCGACUCGCUUGAGAUAUAGAGACUAGAGGAGCAGCAGAUUGAGCUGCUGAGGACAGGGGAGCUACCUGCUAGAAGUUAUCGGGUAUAAUUUUAUACCCUGACUGUAAAUAUUCAUUUUGAUGUAUGUAUUGCACGUAAUUGUAUUGACAUGUAAAAUCGGUCUUGAGCAGCUUGUAUAAAGUUUGUAUAAAGUUGUAAUAAAUUUUAGUUUGGAUUUUCUUAAUGUAAAUUUCUUGUAAUGAUGUAUCUAAAUUGUUUUGUUUCUAAGGAAAUAUGAAUGAUAUUGAUUGACAGUAUUUUGAGAA